rnacentral:piRNA from 1 species
UACCUCUUCUGAUGGACUACUAAUUC